ensembl:lncRNA
CCCAAUUGAUAUGUUAAGAGUCUGACCCCCCAGUGUGACUGUUUUGGGAAUAAGGAGGUAAUUAAGGCUAAGUGAGGUCCUAAGGGUGGGGCCCUAAUCCUGUAAGGUUGGUGGCCUUAUAAAGAAGGGGAAGAGAUGCUAGAACUUUCUUUCUCUUCACCAUUUGUGAGGUCACAAUGAGAAGGCAGCUAAAUGUAGGCGAGGCAGAGAGCUCUCACCAGCACCUGAAUCAGCUGACACUUUGAUCUUGGACUUUCAGCCUUCAGAACUCUGAGAAAUAAAUUUUCAGCUACCCCACUGUGGUAUUUUGUUAUGAUAGCCCAUGCAGACUGGAUUCUUUUUACUCUUCAAUAGACCUUCAAAAGGAUCAUCAGUUUCCUCUUAACGACAAUUCUAUGACUAUCCCCAUAUUGAGAGGACGACAGAAAUACGCAGAUAUUAACUGAUUUUCCUAAAGCAUAGCCUGGGCAUGGACAUUCUUUCAGAGCACCCAGGAUUCUGGAGCUUCUGGUGGAAUAUGCUGGUCAUGGGAGGAUGAAGUUUUCGAGUGUCAAGAAGCAUGGAACAAUACCAAGUACUGCAAUGUCACAUCAAUGACAGAAAGCUCUGUGUGAAGCCCAAGUCUUCGCAGCAUCGAGUCAGAGCCCGGAGGAAUCAGGCCUGUGGGCAGAAAGUCCUGUGGAGAGAGAGUGAUGCUGAUGGCUAUUUUGACCUUCAAGAACUCCGGCCUGUGAGGCUAAGAGCUAAUGUGUACUUUCAUCGAUCUGAGUUGGAGACACACAGCGGGUUAUAGUGCCUGUUUUCCCUAUUUAUCGAGAAUCCUGAUGUAUAUCAGUCACUGUGCAGGACCAUGGGUAUAAAGAGUGCACGAAGAGAAACAGGUGGACUUUCUGGGAGACUUCCAGAAAGAUUGGGUGAAUUGGUGACGUUAGAAAUGAUCGUUGACCAGUAAUGUGUAAAGAGCUAGUGUCUUUCAUCAGGGUUUAAAACAUUCUUUUCCAUGCGAUUGUGGAAAAAUCAGCAGUUUUCAGUGGGUUGAUUUCAAAAGUUAGUUGGCUCCUGCUGUCAUAUAGGUAAUUUAAAAACAGUUGACAAUUAUUUUUAACCUGAUGAUAAAGAGACAAGUGUGGUUGUUUGAAAUAGGAAUAGUCUAAACUUUCACCAGAUCUGCACAAAAUGAUUAGGUGAGUGAAGGAAUUUGGGUUAGCCUAAUUCUCUUAUUCUUUAAAGCAAGAACUUGCCCUCCUUUCCCUCCUUCCCACCUUGACUCCCCUGUGUCCAUGCUAACAUGGCAGCCGCAGGCCACUUCUGUGUGUCAGACACUUAAUGUGACUAGCGUGACUGAGCAACUAAAUUUUAUUUAAUUUUAAUUCAUCUAAAUUUAAUUUUAAAAAAUGAAGCAGUAUACGAUAUUUUCUGCUAAACACAACUCUACCAUUUGGUAGGACUCUCUUUCUCUUCACUUGUUGAAAUGCAUGGGCUGUCACUGUUGCUCUGUCAUGAGCAUUUGGGGCACAUGUGUUGUUUCUAGUAUAACUCAGAACCACAUAUUGAUCUGCUUGAUGUCAAUGGAUUGAUUCAGUUCUAUUUUUUUUCUACUUGCCUAAGCAAUGUAGUAUGUAUUUUAU